rnacentral:rRNA from 1 species
AGAGUUUGAUCAUGGCUCAGGACGAACGCUUGCGACGUGCCUGAGAAAUGCAAGUCGAGCGGUUCUGAAGGCUGAACGCAGAAGGAAGAAGGCUGAAGGGGCGUGCCCUUUCAGCGUUCAGCCCUCUGCCUUCAGUCUUCAGGACAGCGGCGAACGGUCGAGUAACACGUAACCAACCUGCCUUUGAGUCUGGGAUAGCCCUUCGAAAGGGGGAGUAAUACCGGAUGGUCUCCUGUGGUGGCAUCGCUAUGGGAGUAAAGCUUUAGUGCUCAAAGAGGGGGUUGCGGCCUAUCAGUUGGUUGGUGAGGUAACGGCUCACCAAGGCGACGACGGGUAGCUGGUCUGAGAGGAUGGUCAGCCGGACUGGGACUGAGACACGGCCCAGACUCCUACGGGGGGCAGCAAUCAGGAAUCUUGCACAAUGGGGGAAACCCUGAUGCAGCGACGUCGCGUGGAGGAAGACGGCCUUCGGGUUGUAAACUCCUUUUAACCGGGACGAGAAUGGACGGUACCGGUUGAAUAAGCCCCGGCUAACUCCGUGCCAGCAGCCGCGGUAAUACGGAGGGGGCGAGCGUUGUCCGAAUUUAUUGGGCGUAAAGCGCGUGUAGGCGGAUGGGAAAGCCUGGGGUGAAAGGUUGGAGCUCAACUCCAUACAGUGCCCUGGGGACUUCUUGUCUGGAGGCAGGCAGGGGAUCGUGGAAUUCCUGGUGUAGCGGUGGAAUGCGUAGAGAUCAGGAAGAACACCCGUGGCGAAGGCGGCGAUCUGGGCCUGUACUGACGCUGAGACGCGAAAACUGGGGGAGCGAACGGGAUUAGAUACCCCGGUAGUCCACGCUGUAAACGAUGGAUGCUCCGUGUCCGGGGUAUCGACCCCCUCGGCGCCCAAGGUAACCCGGUAAGCAUCCCGCCUGGGGAGUACGGCGGCAAGGUUGAAACUCAAAGGAUUUACGGGGCCGCGCACAAGCGGUUGAGCAUGUUGUUUAAUACGUCACUAACCGUAGAACCUUACCAGGGCUUGACAUCUGAGGAACCCGCGGAAACGCGGGGGUGCUUCGGGGAGCCUCAAGACAGGUGUUGCAUGGCUGUCGUCAGCUCGUGUCGUGAGAUGUUGGGUUAAGUCCCGCAACGAGCGCAACCCUCAUCCUGUGUUGCUACCGAUUCGGCCGGGCACUCUCAGGAAACUGCCCGUGCAAGCGGGAGGAAGGUGGGGAUGACGUCAAGUCAGCAUGGCCCUUACGCCCUGGGCUACAAACAUGCUACAAUGGCGCGUACAGAGGGCAGCAAGCUCGCGAGAGCAAGCCAAUCCCAAAAAGCGCGUCUCAGUUCGGAUCGGAGUCUGCAACUCGACUCCGUGAAGUCGGAAUCGCUAGUAACCGCAGGUCAGCUAUACUGCGGUGAAUACGUUCCCGGGCCUUGUACACACCGGCCGUCACGUCACCUGAGUCUGUUGCACCCGAAGCACCUGGCCCAACCGCAAGGAGGGAGGGUGCGAAGGUGUGGCCGGUAACGGGGACGAAGUCGUAACAAGGUAGCCGUAGGGGAACUGCGGCUGGAUCACCUCCUU